GAGGUAGUCACAGAGGAGUGUUUGAUUAACUCCUGUUUCAGCCACCAUCACAGCUGUGCAGCUGGACGCACCAAGACAAAACAGACAUACCGAACACCUACAGAACAGUACUAGCGAGCGCCCAUCAAUGCAAGCAGCUCCAUGCCUAGGCACAGAUGUCCUGAAAUUGCCUAACCUACUGGUACACCUUCCCGCAUUUCUUAGUAGAUGCAGGUGGAAAACUACCGGUGGGCGCAUAUAAGGAGAAAACAUCUAAGAGCUCGCUGGCAACUGCUGAACUACAAAAGACAGCAUGGACAAAGGGAAGACAUUCAAAAACAUGUAAAAUUUUCAGAUAUUCACCCAUUUCAUGGAGGUUUUCAUUUUGUAGAGAUUUCAAUGUGACUGAAAAUGGAAAAGCACUUAAAAUAUCACUGUGUCUCAUAGGAGAAUGCUCCCUGUGGUGUCAUCAAUGCUUUACCCAGCAAGAUGUCUGCACUGUUUAUAAAUUUCAAUUAUUUAAUUACAGAUGCCCUUAAAUAGCACUUUGGUAUCCCACCUCAUAUAAGAACACCUCAGUAUAAUUCAUAAAACAUGCAAGAUGGUUUCCCAAGCUCUUUUCUUGUUCUGGCAGUGGGUCUGAGUGAACUCCAUAUGCACCAGGCCCCAUGUCAUGCCAGCUAUAGCAAUGACAGGCAUGAGAAGGCAGGAGGGCUCCAUGAGCCAGGAGUUCUGUGGUAACGAAGAGGGCUCCCUUGGCUUAGAGCCCACAUGGGCUGGGACAGCCUAAUUCUGAGUUUCUGGCUUGCUGCAAAGUGUCCUCACUUCAGUCACCCUUGACAAAAAGAGCAAAAUCCCUCUGAUGAGAAACAAAGCAUGAUGAUUUUUAGAAAAACUGCAGAUGCACUGACAAACUUAUGGGAAUUUUGACAAAAUAGGUCCUAUAACAACAGAACAUGGGAUUUGGUGUUGACAAGAAGCUUAGUGAUGCUCUCAGCAUGUUACACGCACCUCCCUGGCUUGUGUAAAACAACAGAAAAGCCGUAAUUAUGCUCAACAGCUCCAGUAACACUCUGUAACACUGAAGCUAAAAGUUGUAACCACUCUCAUGGUGAGACAGUAUUUUAACCUCACCUGUUAUCUGUUGUCCAAUAGUGAGGGCUCUCAUUUGCUCCUUGCUGAAGCUUCUCCAUUGCCAACGGGAAUGGGAAAAAAGGAUUUCUGUUGUGCAGCUCUUCCCAGAAGAAAAUGGAUGGCACAGACAGUUUGCUGGUGAUAGAACUGCAUGCCUGACAUCAGACAGCUCAAGUGAAGCAAAACAAACCUCAUGCUGCUGUAGAUGGUUUUAGAGAAAACCAAGCAAAUCCAGCAGCUUAAAUGUCUGGUGUACACCAGGAGUAAUUGCUGCCUUGUCCUCCUCCUUUCUGGGGACCCCAUUUUACCCUCUGAUCAGAUGUUCAAGUUGAAACCCUUUACACUGCUGUGCUGUUUAGCCCUAUGGAAGAUCAAUGAACACAGAACUAGGCCUAAUAUUUCCCUCACUCAUCAACACUUCCUCCAAGCAAGUCUUCCAAAAACACACACCUUGUUUUAUUAUGAUAACAUAAGAGAUCCUGACACCUAUAUGUUUGUAGAGCUCAUUACCUACAGUAAAAGACUGUGUGAUUGUUGCCUGAGCAAGGUUUCUCAUAUUCUGAAAUAUUUUGAGAAUAAACCUGAGACAGUUUCAUUUUUAACCUUUUUCUUUUUUUUUUCUUUGCUUUGAAGCCUUUUGUAAUUUGACCUUUGGAACAAAUAUUUCAUAGGAUUAUUUGUUGCUAAGGAACACAAUGGAGAAAUUGGAAUAUUCUGUCUUUCUACCUGUGAUUUGCUAUAGCACAUACGCUUUUGUUCGGCGCUGUUCCUUUCUUUCCCAAUCUUUCCACCUCCACCAGCUGGCAAUGUUUAUUGUGCAGCAGCGUUUAUUCAGUAAAGAGACAUCUCCAAGUA